AGAGUUUCAGCUAAAAUGAAAGGUUUACAAAACUAUUAAUUCAAAUGGAUUGGAUAGUAUAGUUCAAUUAUCUAUCUCUGUUACAGAGAAUAGAGCACGUGUUUGCUGCAAACAGCCACGUCAUUGCCACAUGGUUUCCACCAUCAUCCACAAACCCCAUGGAUCACCUGCUGGACAAUGCAGCCAGUCUCCAGUGGGUUCUGCUUCCAGUAUUUGUACCUGGACACUGGAUACUCUGCACAUUGCUCACAGCCUAUCUCCUGGCCCUUGGAGGCAGCUUGGUGUGAAUGAUGUUCAGGAAAACAUGCUGCAGAUUAGAAGAUGGUGGUGUCUUGUUCUCCUGCAGAACUUCCCCAUACCAAGAGAGAUUGCAGCAAAGAAAAAGGCAACGAGAGCAGAAAAAACUACAGGUGAGAGGUCAUGUGAUAAAUUGGUAUAUAGUGAAACUAUUGCUCAAAGACUGAUCCCCGCCACUUAUUUCAGGAUGUGGCUGAAGUCCCCCUGAAAAUGUUUAGGCUUUCAGAAUCUGCCCCUGAAGCAUCAGGUAUUGUUCCAGCCAGCAUUGUCUCACACAUAUCCAUCGAGGUUGUUGAGGUUCCAUGUCACAGAGCAGUCAUUAUUUCUCUGUGUACUUAAAAUCAACCACUUAAAUCUUGCAUUUUCAUUGUGCCUAUAUACACCACAAUCUGUUUCCUUUCUAGAUGAGGCUGAGAACAGGACUGGGAACAGGAAACGGGGUAUAUUGCCUGAGAUGGGUAGUCUCAUUUCAGUGUUUUCUGCAAUCUCCGAGCCUUUACUUAAAUAACUGUUUUCUUUAUUUUUGUUUAGGAGAAUCCUUUGGUCAGGGAUGCAAUGGCGGCAGCCCGGUGGUGUGGGACGAGAACUUUCAAGGGAAAAAUUUCCCUUCCCCAAGUUGUCACCAUGGCCAAGGAGCAACGCGUGAGGGCAGUGGAACUCCUGUGUGACUGUGAUGGCCAGGAAGAAGAGGAGACCGCUGAUCUCAGAGAACCGUUCCUUUUUCUUUUUAGUCUGCAGGAAGACUAUGAGACAUUCUGUCAAGAAAUCAUUGACAGGAGAAACAUGAAGGUGUUUUGUGCUUUUGACAGAAAAGAAUAAAGUUGUGUUCAACGGUG